rnacentral:rRNA from 1 species
AUACGGAGGAUCCGAGCGUUAUCCGGAUUUAUUGGGUUUAAAGGGAGCGUAGGUGGACAGUUAAGUCAGUUGUGAAAGUUUGCGGCUCAACCGUAAAAUUGCAGUUGAUACUGGCUGUCUUGAGUACAGUAGAGGUGGGCGGAAUUCGUGGUGUAGCGGUGAAAUGCUUAGAUAUCACGAAGAACUCCGAUUGCGAAGGCAGCUCACUGGACUGCAACUGACACUGAUGCUCGAAAGUGUGGGUAUCAAACAGUAUUAGAUACCCUGGUAGUCCACACAGUAAACGAUGAAUACUCGCUGUGUGCGAUAUACAGUAAGCGGCCAAGCGAAAGCAUUAAGUAUUCCACCUGGGGAGUACGCCGGCAACGGUGAAACUCAAAGGAAUUGACGGGG